GACAUGGAGUUUGUUAGUUGCUUAUAUAGAAUGCUCAUUUUAGGCUAGAAGCUCAGAAACAGAUUUCUUUGUUGUCUCUUUUAUUGCUAACCAAGGAAAUCACAACUUGUAGAUUUCACCGAAAUUUCAAGUCUUCGAAUCUUCACCUUAAUGACGGGCUUGAAUUACGUGUUUCAGACUGCAGUUUGGCUCCUCUACUAUUGUCUGGUUCUGCGUGUCAGGAUUACGAACACCAGGAGACCAGAGGCAGAUCACACCUGCGGGUGAUGGAGUGUGAAGUUUUGCUGAUGCAUCUGGCAUGUAUUCAAAGAAUACCCAUCAUCAAAUAACAUCAGUGGACAGGGCACUUUGUUGCAGGCUUCUGCGCCACAACUUAUUGGAAGCUCAGCUGCAUCUCCUAGUGCCACAACUGCUACUUCCUUUGAUAACACAACAACAGCUCCACUGCAAUAUGCCAAUUCUCCUGGGUCAGGUACAAACGGAUAAACACCAUCUCCUCAGCAACAUACCCCUCAGCAGCAACAGCAGCAAAGGCAGAAACUGAUGCAACUACCUCAGCAUCAGCAGCAGCAACUCCUUGCACAGCAACAGUUCAGUCAAUCUGUGAUGCAAGGACUGGGACAUGAGAAAAAAUACCACAAUAUAUGAAUUUGAAGUGGUUGCAUCUUUUAGUUGAUUCAAUAAACAAUUCUGAAUUGCUAGUUAUGUUUAUGCUUCCAGUGUUCCAUCCAAAGUUGAGGAUGCUUAUGGAAGUUUGGACAUAUAAUUUCUUGCACUAGAGCAUGCUUAAUUAUAUGUAUGUUUGUAAAUGAACUUUCACACCAACUUUGGCUUUGUUUAGGAUAAAAUUUAAAUUUUGGAAAUUUGAUUGGUUUUUAGGACUUACUGGAGGCAAGAAAAUAAUUGUAUUUAAAAUGGGUGAAACACAUGAUGUAAACUAUUUUGAGAACAAAAAGGAAAAAUCAUCUCCCUUUGUAUCUGCCUCCCUCUUAUAUCACAAUCUGUUCUAGAACCUUGAUUUGUGUCUUAUGUUAAUCUCUCCGAAUGCUUUCCUACUUAGGAAGUUCUGCUCUAGCAUUUGAAUAGGACUUAUAUAAGUUUGUUGAAAUUGAUAAUUGUUUGUUGCUAGAUGAUUUUCAUCAUUAACCAUUUCACUGUCAUAUGCAGAACCAGCUGCCUCAGCUGCAUGAUUUGCAG